CAAACAUAUUAAUGUAAUAGUUCUGAUGCAAAUUAUGAUUCCCAAAAACUUGAGCUGCCUCCUUAGCAUGCAUCCGAUAUUUCUCCCCUUCCUCAGAGACCAUAGCUAGUCUCAGGGCCUUUGCUAUGCCAUUCCUGCUAAAAGACCCGUCUUCGCUUCUCUCUACUUCCACAGCUAACUCCUUUUCAACCAGAAACCUAGCAUUCAAAGGUUGAUCAGCCGUCAUUGGCAACACAACUAGACAAUGUCCAAAUUGUAAGGUCUCUAUCACAGAACCUAACCCAGAAUGAAACAGUGAUCCCCCAAUUGAUGGGUGUGCCAGAAUUUCCAUCUGUGGUGCCCAUCCUAUGCCCACAAUUCCUGUCUUACUCGUGCGCUGACCAAAACCUGAAGGUAAAGCAUCGAGAUCUUUGUUUGCCCAACUGGGUUUCCUGAGAGCCCAUAGAAAUGGCAAUCCUGAUAGCUCUAGCCCGUAAGCUAUCUCAUAAACCUGAUCUUUUGUCAGUUUGCACUCGCUGCCAAAUCCCACAAACACAACCGACUUAUGCUUCUGUUUGUCGAGCCAAUUGAAAAUGUUUCUCCAUGACUCAUCAAUGAAUUGUGUUUUUUCUGGUAUCAAUUGAGGGAGUAAACCUACUGGAAUCACUGGUUUUCCAAUCAGUUUCUCGUAAAGAUUUAUGUACUCACCUUCAUACUCACUGCAGGUACGGAAGGCCACUGCUUGACAACCCUGGAGAACCCUGGCAAGCCGUUCAGCAUCUGAUUUUCCUGAAGCGUUAUUUUCAUAGAAACCUGCAUGUAAACCAACUGCCUCAUAAAUCUUGAAAGCUAUUGAAGACGGUAAGUCGGCCCAUUCUGGCGGUUUUGUCCAACUUUCAGGUGACGACCGAAGCCUUUUUUGGCCAUCACCCACAAGAUAUUCCGGAGGCCCACAGAAAAG
rnacentral:misc_RNA from 1 species